rnacentral:rRNA from 1 species
GCAAGUCGAGGGGUAACAGGGGAGCUUGCUUCCGCUGACGACCGGCGCACGGGUGCGUAACGCGUAUAGAACCUACCUUUUACAGAGGGAUAGCCUUUAGAAAUGAAGAUUAAUACCUCAUAGUACUAUUAAAGUGCAUACUUAAGUAGUUAAAGAUUUAUCGGUAAAAGAUGGCUAUGCGUCCUAUUAGCUAGAUGGUAAGGUAACGGCUUACCAUGGCAACGAUAGGUAGGGGCCCUGAGAGGGGGAUC